rnacentral:rRNA from 1 species
AUUGAACGCUGGCGGCACGCUUUACACAUGCAAGUCGAACGGCAGCGCGGGCUUCGGCCUGGCGGCGAGUGGCGAACGGGUGAGUAAUGCAUCGGAACGUGCCCAGUAGUGGGGGAUAGCCCGGCGAAAGCCGGAUUAAUACCGCAUACGACCUGAGGGUGACAGCGGGGGACCGAAAGGCCUCGCGCUAUUGGAGCGGCCGAUGUCGGAUUAGCUAGUUGGUGGGGUAAAGGCUUACCAAGGCGACGAUCCGUAGCUGGUCUGAGAGGACGACCAGCCACACUGGGACUGAGACACGGCCCAGACUCCUACGGGAGGCAGCAGUGGGGAAUUUUGGACAAUGGGGGCAAACCUGAUCCAGCCAUGCCGCGUGCGAGAAGAAGGCCUUCGGGUUGUAAACCGCUUUUGUUCGGGAAGAAAUCCUCUGGGCUAAUACCCCGGGGGGAUGACGGUACCGGAAGAAUAAGCACCGGCUAACUACGUG